UUUUUAUAGUGUAAAGAACACGUUACAUUUUCGUUGUAAAACUGAAGUUUUAACUUCUAAAAAUU
rnacentral:tRNA from 1 species